GAUGAAGAACGCAGCGAAAUGCGAUAAGUAAUGCGAAUUGCAGAAUUCAGUGAAUCAUCGAAUCUUUGAACGCACAUUGCGCCCGCCAGUAUUCUGGCGGGCAUGCCUGUUCGAGCGUCAUUUCAACCAUCAAGCCCCCGGCUUGUGUUGGGGACCUGCGGCUGCCGCAGGCCCUGAAAAGCAGUGGCGGGCUCGCUGUCACACCGAGCGUAGUAGCAUACAUCUCGCUCUGGGCGUGCUGCGGGUUCCGGCCGUUAAACCACCUUCAUAACCCAAGGUUGACCUCGGAUCAGGUAGGAAGACCCGCUGAACUUAAGCAUAUCAAUAAGCGGAGGA
rnacentral:misc_RNA from 1 species